CCAGCAGUGAUAAAUAUUAAGCAAUGAGUGAAAGCUAACCCAAGCUCGACUUAGCUAUGGUCAUUAGGGCCGGUAAACCUCGUGCCAGCCACCGCGGUUAUACGAGGGGCCCAAAACAACGGACACCGGCGUAAAUUGUGGCUAGAGUACCCACUUACACGYUGAAAAAUGAACAAAAGCCUAAUCGUAAAACCUAGGCCAAAAGAAACACGUAUCUUCAGUUAUAAAGCAACUUGAACCCACGAAGACUAAGAAACAAACUAGGAUUAGAUACCCUACUAUGCUUAGUUGUUAAUAUGACAGCAAAAAACACWACUGUCCGCCAGAGAAUUACACGCGAAAAGCUUAAAACUCAAAGGACUUGGCGGUGCUCCGUAUUCGUCUUAGAGGAGCCUGUCCUAUAAUCGAUAACCCACGCUUUACCUUACCAUCUUUUGUUAAAACAGCCUAUAUACCGCCGUCACAAACUUACCCCAUGAGGGCAUAGUAGUAAGUAAAAUAGUAGCACACUAGCACGUCAGGUCAAGGUGUAGCUAAUAAGAUGGAAGAGAUGGGCUACAUUUUCUAAAACAGAACACAC
rnacentral:rRNA from 1 species